CUAGCCAGGUCCUCCCAGUUUUAUGGUUCUACCCAUCAGUAACGACUACAACAUUCUUGUCGACAACAUGCAUAAUCCACAGUGGUACAUUUUUUGGAGCACUGACAGGAACACAAGAAUCCUAUCAGAGUACUUCGUCAACAUCAAGUUCCCCAGUGUGCAACAGAUGCAAGGAUUAUUGGGAUAUUUCUGACUCUUCUAGCCGAGAUUUAGUGGUUUGUUCCAUACGCGAGCUGCAGACAUUGUAGAGGACUUUCAAUUGAUUCAAGGUAAAUUGAUGUUCUUUGCCUGAUCAUUACAGUUACUGCAUUUGAUUAAUGAAAUUACGAGGACAGCGAUACAUUUA